GCCUCUUUAGCUCAGUCGGUAGAGCGCCGGACUGUUAAUCCGUAGGUCGUUGGUUCGAGCCCAACAAGAGGCGCCA
rnacentral:tRNA from 3 species